UGGGGAAUAUUGGACCAUGGGCGCAAGCCUGAUCCAGCCAUGCCGCGUGUGUGAAGAAGGUCUUCGGAUUGUAAAGCACUUUAAGUUGGGAGGAAGGGCAUUAACCUAAUACGUUAGUGUUUUGACGUUACCGACAGAAUAAGCACCGGCUAACUCUGUGCCAGCAGCCGCGGUAAUACAGAGGGUGCAAGCGUUAAUCGGAAUUACUGGGCGUAAAGCGCGCGUAGGUGGUUUGUUAAGUUGGAUGUGAAAUCCCCGGGCUCAACCUGGGAACUGCAUUCAAAACUGACUGACUAGAGUAUGGUAGAGGGUGGUGGAAUUUCCUGUGUAGCGGUGAAAUGCGUAGAUAUAGGAAGGAACACCAGUGGCGAAGGCGACCACCUGGACUAAUACUGACACUGAGGUGCGAAAGCGUGGGGAGCAAACA
rnacentral:rRNA from 1 species